GCCCCUAACUUUAGCCCCCCACCUUAUUUUUUCCACCUAAACCCAAUAAAACAUUUUUACAAUUUAGUAAAGGCGAUUAAAAAAUAAGUAAGAGCCAUAGAUACAGUACCGCAAGGGAAAUAUGAAAUAUUACUUAAAGCAUAAAAUAGCAAAGACUUAAUCUUGUACCUUUUGCAUCAUGGUCUAGCCAGUAUAAUCAAGCAAAACGAACUUACAGUUUGACACCCCGAAACUAAGCGAGCUACUUUAGAACAGCAUAUAGCGCCAACCCAUCCAUAUUGCAAAAUGGUGGGAAGAUUCUAAAGUAGAGGUGACACACCUACCGAGCUUAGAGAUAGCUGGUUAUUCAGAAAAAGGAUUUUAGUCCUACCUUAAGCCCAACUAGCAACUACUAGACACCCCCAAUGCUUAAAAGUCAUUCAAAUAAGGUUCAGCCUAUUUGAACAAGGAAACAGCCUAACAUCUUGGGUACUAACAUAUAACAUGACCAAGUAGGCCUAAGAGCAGCCAACUUCCAAAAAGCGUCCAAGCUUCCCCAUAACAAUUAUUUAUACCACCACCUUAAAACAACCCACAACCACCACUGAAUGAUCUUAUAUACAUAUAAGAAACAUAAUGCUAGAACUAGUAAUAAGAACUGAAAUUCUCUAAAAUGUAAAUGUGAGCCAAAAUGGACUGCCUUUGGCACUUACCCGCCUAUAUUUAUGUAGUUACCUCAACAAGAAAACUCUACAACACUUAACGUUAACCUCACACUAGAACAUUUCCAGAAAGAUUAAAAGGAGAGGAAGGAACUCGGCAAAUAUCAGCCCCGCCUGUUUACCAAAAACAUCGCCUCUUGUAAGACAUAAGAGGUCCGACCUGCCCAGUGACACUAGUUAAACGGCCGCGGUACCCUAACCGUGCAAAGGUAGCACAAUCACUUGUUCUUUAAAUCAGGACUAGUAUGAACGGCCACACGAGGGCUAUACUGUCUCCCUCCCCCAAUCAAUGAAACUGAUCUACCCGUGAAGAAGCGGGCAUAUCCUAAUAAGACGAGAAGACCCCAUGGAACUUAAAACUAAUAUCACUGCCACAACACACCACAUAAGCAACAUGAAUACUAGUCUUUCGGCUGGGGCGACCACGGAGAAAAACAAAACCUCCAUGAUGAAAGGCUACCCCCUAAUCUUAGACCCACCAAUCCAAGAAUCAAUAAAUUGACUAUUUGACCCAACACUUGAUCAACGAACCAAGCUACCCUGGGGAUAACAGCGCAAUCCAUUUCAAGAGACCCCAUCGACAAAUGGGCUUACGACCUCGAUGUUGGAUCAGGGUACCCAAGUGGUGCAGCCGCUACUAAAGGUUCGUUUGUUCAACGAUUAAAACCCUACGUGAUCUGAGUUCAGACCGGAGUAAUCCAGGUCGGUUUCUAUCUAUUAAGAGUCUCAUCCAGUACGAAAGGACCGAAGAGACAUGGCCUAUAAACAAUCAAGCCAUAACUUAACUAAUGCUAUCAACUCAAUUAGCUCCUCUACCACCCACCGCUAGACCAUACAAAUAUAU
rnacentral:rRNA from 1 species